GGAGAAAUUCCUUUAGUCCAUUUCCAACCCAUAAAGAAAAAUGAAAAAUCCUCUACAGGAAAACACCAAUUUGUGUAGUGCACUGAAGAUGGCACUGUAGUAACAACUUCACCCUGUGAAUGAUAAGACAUCCUUAGCUCGUGUUCCUCGGUGGGAAGGAUGACAGUCACACGGGGCAUGGGGAGAAGUGUUAUGUGAGGCAUUUCUAGUGGAGACAGAAAGAAAUAGACACAAAAACGUGUGGCUGUGAAAGCGAUUCUGGCUGCGUUGCAUGCUGGCACUAAAGUGGAAACCAGCGUGGGCACCAUCUUCAGGCCCUGGAUGAAAGCUGAGCUGCUAAACACCAGCUCUGCAGCAUCACCCAAGGGUGCUCCUUUCUGCACACAGAACUCCUCAGCUGCUUUCACUCUGAACCUUGCUUAUGUUUGCCUUCUCUGCCUGCCCAAUUCUUCUGACAAGAACAACUGCAGUUCCCUCUACGGAGAAGGAUGGAACGCUGGUUUUUGCUCAGGUUUGAAUGAUAACCAGCAGCUAAUCAUCUCUGUUUGUGCCUACAUCCUUCUACCACAACCUCCAGCUACAUUAAAACAGAAUGUGGGGUGAUAGAGAGAGUCACAAGUGAUGCAAGUAGCUCAUGGAGGUAAAAUGUAUUAUGAAGAGAUUGGUUGUGCAGAUGUGUUGCCUUCUAAACUAAAGAAAGACAGGUCAGUAUCAGCAAGCAGUAUUUGUACAGCAAAAGGGCAGUCGUGAAACUAGUGAAACUACCACCUCCAUCUUCAUCAUCUCCAUGAUCACUCUGAGUUUGAGCCACUGCUUCUACCUCUCAUGGCUGAUGAAGCAGUGAUUACAUGAGGACUUGCAUUAGCAUAGGCUGUAGUGCAAGGAAGAUUCAGAAACUACACAGUGUCCUUGUUCGUGCUGAGCAGUGCAGCCACAUCUCCGCACCUUUGGGACUUAAAGCCUCUGCUACUAUAGUGCUUGUGUCCUUAAGACUGGAGCCACUGAAGCAGACCAAGACAGAAGACAGGAGAGAAGAAACACUAUUAGAAAGUAGUGUUGUGCAAUCAUUCUCCUUUUUUUUUUUUGUGUAGUGAUGUCACUUGAAAACUGUGUCACAGUCUCUCCUGUUUUUGUCAUCUCAUGUGGCCACCACCUCCCUUUGUCCCAUGCACAAAUCCUGGUAUGUAUUAAAAGCGCUCUCUC
rnacentral:lncRNA from 7 species